AGUGAACGCUGGCGGUAGGCCUAACACAUGCAAGUCGAACGGCAGCACAGUAAGAGCUUGCUCUUACGGGUGGCGAGUGGCGGACGGGUGAGGAAUACAUCGGAAUCUACUUUUUCGUGGGGGAUAACGUAGGGAAACUUACGCUAAUACCGCAUACGACCUACGGGUGAAAGCAGGGGAUCUUCGGACCUUGCGCGAUUGAAUUAGCCGAUGUCGGAUUAGCUAGUUGGCGGGGUAAAGGCCCACCAAGGCGACGAUCCGUAGCUGGUCUGAGAGGAUGAUCGGCCACACUGGAACUGAGACACGGUCCAGACUCCUACGGGAGGCAGCAGUGGGGAAUAUUGGACAAUGGGCGAAAGCCUGAUCCAGCCAUACCGCGUGGGUGAAGAAGGCCUUCGGGUUGUAAAGCCCUUUUGUUGGGAAAGAAAAGAAGCAGGUUAAUACCCCGAUGUUCUGACGGUACCCAAAGAAUAAGCACCGGCUAACUUCGUG
rnacentral:rRNA from 1 species